GACGAACGCUGGCGGCGUGCUUAACACAUGCAAGUCGAGCGGUAAAGGCCCUUUCGGGGGUACGACGAGCGGCGAACGGGUGAGUAACACGUGGGUGACCUGCCCUCCAGCUCUGGGAUAAAGCCUGGGAAACCGGGGUCUAAUACCGGAUAUGACUCCAUGACGCAUGUUGUGGGGUGGAAAGCCUUGUGCGGCUGAGGAUGGGCCCGCGGCCUAUCAGCUUGUU
rnacentral:rRNA from 1 species